GAUGAACGCUAGCGGAAGGCUUAAUACAUGCAAGUCGAGCGGUAGGUGGCUUCGGCCAUUGAGAGCGGCGCACGGGUGAGUAACGCGUACAUGACCUGCCUGUCAGAAGGGGAUAGCCCUGGGAAACUGGGAUUAAUACCCUAUGGUAUUGAUAUUAUGAAUGAUAUCAAUUAAAGUUGAGGCGCUGAUAGAUGGAUGUGCGUCUGAUUAGCUAGUUGGUAGGGUAACGGCCUACCAAGGCGACGAUCAGUAGGGGGCGUGAGAGCGUGGUCCCCCACACGGGUACUGAGACACGGACCCGACUCCUACGGGAGGCAGCAGUAAGGAAUAUUGGUCAAUGCCCGCAAGGGUGAACCAGCCAUUCCGCGUGGAGGAUGAAGGCCCUAUGGGUUGUAAACUUCUUUUAGAUGGGAAGAAAAUGCUAGAUGUAUCUGGCACUGACGGUACCAUCAGAAUAAGCACCGGCUAACUCCGUGCCAGCAGCCGCGGUAA
rnacentral:rRNA from 1 species